rnacentral:rRNA from 1 species
UACGUAGGUGGCAAGCGUUGUCCGGAUUUACUGGGCGUAAAGAGCGCGCAGGCGGUCGGAUAAGUCGAAUGUGAAAGCCCCUGGCUCAACCAGGGAGGGUCAUUCGAUACUGUUCGACUCGAAGGCAGGAGAGGGAAGUGGAAUUCCGGGUGUAGUGGUGAAAUGCGUAGAUAUCCGGAGGAACACCAGUGGCGAAGGCGGCUUUCUGGACGGUACUGACGCUGAGACGCGAAAGCGUGGGUAGCAAACAGG